rnacentral:rRNA from 1 species
GACGAACGCUGGCGGCAUGCUUAACACAUGCAAGUCGAACGGAAAGGCCCUGCUUUUGUGGGGUGCUCGAGUGGCGAACGGGUGAGUAACAAGUGAGUAACCUGCCCUUGACUUUGGGAUAACUUCAGGAAACUGGGGCUAAUACCGGAUAGGAGCUCCUGCUGCAUGGUGGGGGUUGGAAAGUUUCGGCGGUUGGGGAUGGACUCGCGGCUUAUCAGCUUGUUGGUGGGGUAGUGGCUUACCAAGGCUUUGACGGGUAGCCGGCCUGAGAGGGUGACCGGCCACAUUGGGACUGAGAUACGGCCCAGACUCCUACGGGAGGCAGCAGUGGGGAAUAUUGCACAAUGGGCGGAAGCCUGAUGCAGCAACGCCGCGUGCGGGAUGACGGCCUUCGGGUUGUAAACCGCUUUCGCCUGUGACGAAGCGUGAGUGACGGUAAUGGGUAAAGAAGCACCGGCUAACUACGUG